GCCUCUCUCUCUCUCUCUCUCUCUCUCGGGGAACGCCCACGCCUCUCUCUCCUCUCCUCCGCCAGCCCCGCCGCCCGCCCUCCUCCCUGAUACGCGUGAGCUCGCUCCCCCUGAAGAUGUCUCCCACCUUCGCCGCUGCCCCUUCCUCCUCCAUAUGCGGUGUUUGCAUCCCCAAGGCUUGCCGUCUCGAAGCGCGGAGUACGGUUCCCGCGUCCAGAUUUCUCCGUAAUCGGAUGCAAGAAAAAAGACGGGCUGCUGCAGCUUGGUCCUUGAAGGCUGGUUUGUGGGACUCCCUCAAAUCUGGCUUUUUGAAAAAUAAUAACAGUACACAGACAAUAGAGCCACCAUCAAAACCACUUGAAGAGGAAGAACCUGUGCCCGAGGAACUAAUUCUCCUUGAAAGGACACUACCUGAUGGUAGCACAGAACAGAUUAUAUUUUCUUCGGCUGGAGAUGUUGAUGUAUAUGAUCUCCAAGCCUUAUGUGAUAAGGUAGGAUGGCCACGCAGACCUCUAUCGAAGAUAGCAGCAUCCUUAAGAAACAGCUACUUGGUUGCUACACUACAUUCGAUAAUUAGGUCUUCAGAAACAGAGGGAGAAGACAGGAAACAACUGAUUGGUAUGGCGCGCGCAACUUCAGACCAUGCCUUCAAUGCUACAAUUUGGGAUGUUCUUGUUGAUCCUUCAUAUCAGGUGAGUUGGGUCAAGGUCUUGGUAAAGCACUUAUGGAGAAAGUAAUUCGUACUUUGCUCCAGAGAGACAUCAGCAACAUUACAUUGUUUGCAGACAAUAAAGUUGUAGAUUUCUACAAGAACAUGGGAUUCGAGGCUGAUCCCCAAGGCAUCAAGGGCAUGUUCUGGUACCCCAGAUUUUAGCGCCAGCGGCCUAGUACCCUCUUGUUCUCAAAGGGUAUGUCAGGUUGGAAUCACGACUUGCUACUCCAGGCCAAAUGGAUCGUUCUUCACAGUUCAUGCUGUGCAAAAGCAACCAUUUUCUCUGAUUCUCAAAUGAUGAGGUGCACGGCUCACCUCAUCUCACCGAUGCGAUGUAACUAUAACCGAAGCGAACAAUACUAUCCGCAGUAUCGGUUUAGAUAUGUGCACUCAGAGCUCUGUUCAUCUGUAUGUAUCCUUGUUUAUAUGCCCCA